rnacentral:antisense_RNA from 1 species
CGGGGAGACCGCGUUUAGAGGAUCAGUGGCGGCGGCACCCGCGGCCCCGCGCGGCGCGGACGGCGGGCAGCACCGUGCCUGGGCCCCCUCCUGCUCCGUUGUAUCGUGACCUUCUGAACCUCAGUUGUCUUGCCUGUAAAAUGGAAACGAAGGGGAUGGUUAGCACUCCCACUGGAUCAAAUAAGCUGCACCUCAUACAUAAUGAGGGAACAGAGACCUGGAGAGAUACAGUCCUUGGCCACAGUCAGCCAAGUUGAAGCAUAGCUGGGGCUUUGAACCCAGUCUCCCAGCUCCCAAUCUGCCUGCAACCCUGUCCCUCUCCACCCCCCAGCCCUGACCAGAAUUCUCUUCUGUACAUCCAGAAGGGCUUUCCCAUUCCUCAGACUCUCUGAGGCAAUGACAGUCCGUACCACCCAUGCGGCCCUUAAUCAUUUACUGCCCUUGCAAACAGCCUGUGGUCAAAAGCAAUAAAAUUCGGACUUGGACAGAUCA